rnacentral:rRNA from 1 species
CCUACGGGAGGCAGCAGUGGGGAAUAUUGGGCAAUGGACGCAAGUCUGACCCAGCAACGCCGCGUGAAGGAUGAAGGCUUUCGGAUUGUAAAGUUCUUUUAGUAGGGACGAAGAAAGUGACGGUACCCACAGAAUAAGCCUCGGCUAACUACGUGCCAGCAGCCGCGGCAAUACGUAGGAGGCAAGCGUUCUCCGGAGUGACUGGGUGUAAAGGGUGCGUAGGUGGUUAGGCAAGUUAGUAGUGAAAUUCCGGGGCUCAACCUAGGCACUGCUUCCGAUACUGUUCGGCUUGAGUUCAGGAGCGGCAGGUGGAAUUCCUAGUGUAGCGGUGAAAUGCGUAGAUAUUAGGCAGAACACCAGCGGCGAAGGCGGUUCACUGGACUGCAACUGACGCUGAGGCACGAAAGCGUGGGGAGCAAACAGGAUUAGAUACCCCAGUAGUC